GCCCUCGAUGGCUCAGAUGGAUAGAGCGUCUGCCCUGUAAGCAGGAGAUCCCCCCGGGUUCGAGUCCCGAUCGGGGCA